UGGUUCAAGAACUAUAUGAUAAGGAUGCAGGAUGAGGUUGGUAAAGAGGUAGACGAAGAUCUCUUUGCCUUGGCAUGUGGUCCUGAUCGGAGAGUCCGGAAAUUCUCAUCAUGCAUAGUGAAUGGGAUUAGAUUUAGCACUGUUGAUCGUGAUAGCAACAAGAGAACGCAAAACAGUGGAGUCAUGGCCGAAGGUGAACAUGACCGUAAGGUCAUAAAUUUUUAUGGAACCUUGAAAGAGAUCAUUCAGUUAGACUACAACUUGGAUGACAGGUCAGUUGUUUUGUUUAAAUGUGACUGGUUUAAACUUGAUGGAAAGAAGAUCGAGCUUAAAAAUGAUGUUUUUUUCAAAAGCAUAAAUGUUGGAAGUAUGUGGUACAAGGACGAUUCUUUGAUUCUGGCUAUGCAGGCUAGAAAGGUCUUUUAUUUGCUAGACACGAAGUAUGGGAAGAAUUGGCAAGUUGUGCAAACAUUUGAACAUAGGCAUCUCUUCAAUAUUAGUGAAACUGAGGGUGUACCUUUUACUGGUCCUGCAUAUCAAGAGGACGAGUGUUGUGAUGAGGAGGGU
rnacentral:rRNA from 1 species